UCCUAGAGGUACGGAACAACGCAGGGAAACUUGCGCUAAUACCGUAUGUGCUCUUGCGAGGAAAGAUUUAUCGCCUUUAGACGGGCCCGCGUCGGAUUAGCUAGUUGGUGGGGUAAUGGCCUACCAAGGCAACGAUCCGUAGCUGAUCUGAGAGGAUGAUCAGCCACACUGGGACUGAGACACGGUCCAGACUCCUACGGGAGGCAGCAGUGGGGAAUCUUGGACAAUGGGCGCAAGCCUGAUCCAGCCAUGCCGCGUGAGUGAAGAAGGCCUUCGGGUUGUAAAGCUCUUUUGUCAGGGACGAUAAUGACGGUACCUGAAGAAUAAGCCCCGGCAAACUUCGUGCCAGCAGCCGCGGUAAUACGAAGGGGGCUAGCGUUGUUCGGAUUUACUGGGCGUAAAGCGCACGUAGGCGGAUAGUUAAGUGAGAGGUGAAAUCCCAGGGCUCAACCCUGGAACUGCCUUUCAUACUGGCUAUCUCGAGUUCGGAAGAGGUGAGUGGAAUUCCUAGUGUAGAGGUGAAAUUCGUAGAUAUUAGGAAGAACACCGGUGGCGAAGGCGGCUCACUGGUCCGAUACUGACGCUGAGGUGCGAAAGCGUGGGGAGCAAACAGGACUAGAUACCCUGGUAGUCCACGCCGUAAACUAUGAGAGCUAGCCGUUGGGUGGUUUACCACUCAGUGGCGCAGCUAACGCAUUAAGCUCUCCGCCU
rnacentral:rRNA from 2 species